rnacentral:rRNA from 1 species
AGUGAACGCUGGCGGUAGGCCUAACACAUGCAAGUCGAACGGCAGCACAGUAAGAGCUUGCUCUUACGGGUGGCGAGUGGCGGACGGUUGAGGAAUACAUCGGAAUCUACUUUUUCGUGGGGGAUAACGUAGGGAAGCUUACGCUAAUACCGCAUACGACCUACGGGUGAAAGCAGGGGAUCUUCGGACCUUGCGCGAUUGAAUGAGCCGAUGUCGGAUUAGCUAGUUGGCGGGGUAAAGGCCCACCAAGGCGACGAUCCGUAGCUGGUCUGAGAGGAUGAUCAGCCACCCUGGAACUGAGACACGGUCCAGACUCCUACGGGAGGCAGCAGUGGGGAAUAUUGGACAAUGGGCGCAAGCCUGAUCCAGCCAUACCGCGUGGGUGAAGAAGGCCUUCGGGUUGUAAAGCCCUUUUGUUGGGAAAGAAAAGCAGCAGGUUAAUACCCCGCUGUUCUGACGGUACCCAAAGAAUAAGCACCGGCUAACUUCGUG